rnacentral:rRNA from 1 species
CACGGGGGGAGCAAGCGUUGUUCGGAAUUACUGGGCGUAAAGGGCGCGUAGGCGGCCUGCUAAGUCGAACGUGAAAUCCCCGGGCUCAACCCGGGAACUGCGUCCGAUACUGGUUGGCUUGAAUUCGAGAGAGGGAUGUGGAAUUCCAGGUGUAGCGGUGAAAUGCGUAGAUAUCUGGAGGAACACCGGUGGCGAAGGCGGCAUCCUGGACCGAUAUUGACGCUGAUGCGCGAAAGCCAGGGGAGCAAACGGG